rnacentral:lncRNA from 1 species
UUUAAACACAGGCUGCUGUGCUGGUGUCUGGGACACAGCGCCUGACACUCAGGAGACGGAGAGAGCCUUCCGCUCAUUCUGCCUCAGGAGGAGCUCGAACCUGCUCCCUUAAAUCUCCAUCAGCUCCGGCAAGCCCUUGGGCUCUGCUGGCUGUAACGCUGCUCCCUGUUUACCAGAGGCUUUUGCUGGCACAUUAAAUGUAUCACUCAUACCCUGAACUAGAUCGAGCCACAGAAAGCUUUGAUUCAUGGAGCUGCUGGUCCCCGUUACCACAAGAUAUGCAUUCUUUCUCUUUGUUAAGGAAUUAAGGUGCCAUAUUGAAACUUUAAUCUUUAAAUACAGGUAAAUAAAACAUGA